GAUGAACGCUGGCGGCGUGCCUAAUACAUGCAAGUCGAGCGAACAGACGAGGAGUUUGCUCCUCUGACGUUAGCGGCGGACGGGUGAGUAACACGUGGAUAACCUACCUAUAAGACUGGGAUAACUUCGGGAAACCGGAGCUAAUACCGGAUAAUAUAUUGAACCGCAUGGUUCAAUAGUGAAAGACGGUUUUGCUGUCACUUAUAGAUGGAUCCGCGCCGCAUUAGCUAGUUGGUAGGGUAACGGCUUACCAAGGCAACGAUGCGUAGCCGACCUGAGAGGGUGACCGGCCACACUGGAACUGAGACACGGUCCAGACUCCUACGGGAGGCAGCAGUAGGGAAUCUUCGGCAAUGGGCGAAAGCUUGACGGAGCAACGCCGCGUGAGUGAUGAAGGUCUUCGGAUCGUAAAACUCUGUUAUUAGGGAAGAACAAAUGUGUAAGUAACUAUGCACGGCUUGACGGUACCUAAUCAGAAAGCCACGGCUAACUACGUG
rnacentral:rRNA from 1 species